AACGGUCUAUACCUGCGGUACCUGCGGAGGGAUCAUUACUGAGUGCGGACCUAACCGGUCCAACCUCCCACCCGUGUCUCUAAAUACCCUGUUGCUUUGGCGGGCCCACCGAUUCGUCGGUCGCCGGGGGACCCUGUGUCCUCGGGCCCGUGCCCGCCAGAGCGCUUGAAGAACCCUUAUGAAGAUAGACUGUCUGAGUGUAUUUGAUAAUAAUCAAAACUUUUAACAACGGAUCUCUAG
rnacentral:misc_RNA from 1 species